rnacentral:rRNA from 1 species
GAUGAACGCUGGCGGCGUGCCUAAUACAUGCAAGUCGAGCGAACGGACGAGAAGCUUGCUUUUCUGAUGUUAGCGGCGGACGGGUGAGUAACACGUGGAUAACCUACCUAUAAGACUGGGAUAACUUCGGGAAACCGGAGCUAAUACCGGAUAAUAUUUUGAACCGCAUGGUUCAAAAGUGAAAGACGGUCUUGCUGUCACUUAUAGAUGGAUCCGCGCUGCAUUAGCUAGUUGGUAAGGUAACGGCUUACCAAGGCAACGAUGCAUAGCCGACCUGAGAGGGUGAUCGGCCACACUGAAACUGAGACACGGUCCAGACUCCUACGGGAGGCAGCAGUAGGGAAUCUUCCGCAAUGGGCGAAAGCCUGACGGAGCAACGCCGCGUGAGUUAUGAAGGUCUUCGGAUCGUAAAACUCUGUUAUUAGGGAAGAACAUAUGUGUAAGUAACUGUGCACAUCUUGACGGUACCUACUCAGAAAGCCACGGCUAACUACGUG